rnacentral:rRNA from 1 species
UACGGGGGGAGCAAGCGUUGUUCGGAUUUACUGGGCGUAAAGGGCGCGUAGGCGGCCACCGCAAGUCGACUGUGAAAUCUCCGGGCUUAACCCGGAAAGGUCAGCCGAUACUGCGGGGCUAGAGUGCAGAAGGGGCAACUGGAAUUCUCGGUGUAGCGGUGAAAUGCGUAGAUAUCUGGAGGAAUACCGGUGGCGAAGGCGGC